AUUGAACGCUGGCGGCAGGCCUAACACAUGCAAGUCGAGCGGAUGAAGGUAUCUUGCUCCUGGAUUCACCGGCGGACUUGUGAGUAAGGCCUGGGCAUCUGCCUGAUACUGGGGGAUCACGCCCGGUAAAGGGGGCUAAUACCUGGUACGGCCUGAGGAUGACACUUAAGGAUCUUGGGACCUCUGGCUCUCAGAGGAGACUAGGUCGGAUUAGCUAUUUGGUGGGGUAAAGGUCUACCCAGGCUACGAUCCGUAACUGGUCUGAGAGGAUCAUCUGUCACACGGGAACUGAGACACGGUCGCGACUCCUACGGUAGGACGCAGUGGGGAUUAUUGCACGAUGGGCGAAAGCCUGAUACAGCCAAGCCGCGGGUGUGAAGAAGGUGUUCGGAUUGUAGAGCACAUUAAGUUGGGAGGAAGGGCAGUAAGUUAAUAACUUGCUGUUUUGACGGUACCAACAGAAUAAGCACCGGCUAACUUCGUG
rnacentral:rRNA from 1 species